ACUGAUACUCCCCUAGUAGCGGAGAGCGAACGGGGACCAGCCGAGCCUUGAGCGUGACUAGAAUGUGCUGGAAAGCACAGCCAUAGCGGGUGACAGCCCCGUAUAGGAAGCGUGAUGGGACGUAUUAAGUAGGGCGGGACACGUGAAAUCCUGUCUGAAGAUCGGAGGACCACCUUCGAAGGCUAAGUACUCCUUACUGACCGAUAGUGAACCAGUACCGUGAGGGAAAGGUGAAAAGCACCCCGACGAGGGGAGUGAAACAGUACCUGAAACCGAACGCCUACAAUCAGUCGGAGCCCC
rnacentral:rRNA from 1 species